UUUGGAUCAAUCUGCUAUUACACUUUUUUUAAUCAAUUUGCUACUAUACUUCUUAGUACAUGCUCUAGGUAUGACUGCGAUCUGGUGGUAACCACACCAAUUUUGAAAGAGAUAAGGACAUACCAGUUGUCUGUUCUAGAAAUAGCAACAAGCAGCCAACCAAACAGUUACUUUUUCUUUUUGACAUCUAACCAAACAGCUACUCCCUCCGUUCAAAAAUUUAAAAACGUUUUUAACAUUACUGUAGUGUCAAAAGCGUUUUUAUAUUACGGGACGGAGGGAGUACCUUGCAUCUACUGGCCGCAAAGAGGAUUUGCAGGCAAUCAAACAAACUGGCACCUGGGUACGCAGCCGUGCAAGGCAGUUUUUUUUUUUUUUUUUUUUUGAGGAUGCGCAUUUUUCUUUUUUUGAGGAUGUUUUUUUUCAGGUGAGGAUAAUUCUGAGGAUGUUUUCCCCGCAGGGGCUUGCCCCAGGGACCCCAAAAUCGAACCAGCUUACCAAACACGCCUCGUUCUAAAGGAAAAAAAAACACGUCCAGUUGGACACGGUCACGGCGGCGUCCGGCCGGCGGCACAGGGAGUCAGGGAGGCGUGUCGGGAUCGAUGAUACCCCCUCUCUCCCCCGCCGCCUCCUUUCUCUCCCGUGCGCCGCUCUCCACCCCGAUCCAGAUCGAGCCGCCGGCCAACCUCACCCCAGCUCAGCCUCGCUGGCGACAACCCCCCCUCCACCGCCGGUAGACCUCCCCAAAGCCGGCUCUCCUCCCCGCCGACCCAGUGCGCCCCCGGACCCAAAACCCUAGCGAACUGCAGCAGGAGGAGAUUCCUGCUCUGGCGCCGCCGCGGGGCCUCAUGGCGCAGUCCCAUGACCUGGUGUUCGCCUUCGCCUCCCUCCUGCACCGGCUGGUGACCGUGCUCCCUCUCCCGCGCGGCGGCCUCGCUGCUCCGACGAGCCCAAGCUCCGCUUCCUCGUCUCCAUUAAAGGUCACGGUGCUGUUUCGGCGGCGGUGGUGUUCCAGCACUGGUGGUGCCUUCCGGUGGUAGUCUGUCUACCGGAGCUCCUGCUGCCGCUCUUCUCCGACGACUCGGUGGUUGGGCUGCUGAUUUUGGUCAGGCCACGGUGGUUUUCCUGUGGUGUUCCAGUAGUGGUGGUGUCCACCGGAGCUCCUGCCGCACCUUGUUGAGCUCCGUCAACGGCUACGUCAUCAAGGUCGUGUUCCUGUUCUGACAUCCCUAGCUGCAACUUUGAUUUCAGAAAUAAAUAGGUCGACAGUUAUUUAUUGUGUACGUAUUGUAUAAGUCUUUAUCUUUACCUAAUAAUAAAGGGUUGAACGCUUCUUCCUCCUUAAAUUUUCGUACGUAAUUAGUUACAUGUGAUUCGGUUUGUCCGUCCGUCGUCCUUUCAUUCUUCUUCGUAUAUAUCUGGUUCCUUCGCUCCAAUGGAAUCGAAGCCAACCAAACAAGCACCAAUGACUCUAGCCCAACUAGACCAACCGAACGAACCCGCCUGCGCACUAUAGCCCAAUUAAACCGGCCCACCUAUCCCAGUUGAGGCAAAAAAUACUUGCUUCCUGCGCACUAUAGCCCAAUUAAACCGGCCCAUCUAUCCCAGUUGAGGCAAAAAAUACUUGCUGGUGAGCAGACUCGAACCCAAAACCUGAAGACCGGCACAUAACGGCGCGACAAACCAAGCCAGCCUUUGUUGUUGGUUAAAUCGAAGAUUGAUUCGUAUAAUACAUAGUCUCACCUCGCUGUCUCACAUCCAAUCCACUCAAUUUAUAUACGCUUUUGUGUUUCUUGGGUGUCAGGAAGCCGCGUCGGAGAUCAUUACAGAAAAUUAAGGAAGGAAUGAGAAGCUAAUUAAUUGGAAAGCGAGGCAAUAUUAGCCUUCCAUACUGAUGUGGGCUACUAAACGGGACUUGAGGUGAAAAAAAAGGAAA